rnacentral:rRNA from 1 species
UACGGAGAGUGCAAACGUUGUUCGGAUUCACUGGGCGUAAAGGGCACGUAGGCGGCUCGGCAAAUCGGUCGUGGAAUCCCGACGCUUACCGUCGGAACGGCGGCCGAAAAUACCGGGCUCGAGGGCGUGAGGGGUCACUGGAACUCCUGGUGAAGCGGUGAAAUGCGUAGAUAUCAGGAGGAACACCAAUGGCGAAGGCAGCUCACUGGGACGGUAUUGACGCUGAGACGCGAAAGCGUGGGGAGCAAACAGG